AAGAUCUUCGAAGUUAUAUACUUAUCAUCAUCAAGGGUUAUAAUUCGGAUUAUGUUUAAAAUUGUCUUAUUAAAGACACCGAGAUAGAGGAGCUGCAGAAGAUCUUCGAAGUUAUAUACUUAUCAUCAUCACGGUUAUAAUUCGGAUUAUGUUUAAAAUUGUCUUAAUAAAGACAUCGAGAUAGAGGUGCAAAAUUCCAGAGGGAAGCAAUGCAAGGCUAGCAAGCACACAUAAUGGCUUAACAUCGGUUAAAUGGUGUAUCUAUACGAAGUUGAUCUAAAAUCAAGCUGAAGGAUAU